rnacentral:rRNA from 1 species
GUGAGGAAUAUUGGUCAAUGGGCGAGAGCCUGAACCAGCCAAGUCGCGUGAAGGAAGAAGGAUCUAUGGUUCGUAAACUUCUUUUGCAGGGGAAUAAAGUGCAGGACGUGUCCUGUUUUGUAUGUACCCUGAGAAUAAGGAUCGGCUAACUCCGUGCCAGCAGCCGCGGUAAUACGGAGGAUCCGAGCGUUAUCCGGAUUUAUUGGGUUUAAAGGGUGCGUAGGUGGUUUGAUAAGUCAGCGGUGAAAGUUUGCAGCUUAACUGUAAAAAUGCCGUUGAAACUGUCGGACUUGAGUGUAAAUGAGGUAGGCGGAAUGCGUGGUGUAGCGGUGAAAUGCAUAGAUAUCACGCAGAACUCCGAUUGCGAAGGCAGCUUACUAAGCUACAACUGACACUGAAGCACGAAAGCGUGGGGAGCAAACAGGAUUAGAAACCCCAGUAGUCC